rnacentral:misc_RNA from 1 species
CGCACAUUGCGCCCUCUGGUAUUCCGGGGGGCAUGCCUGUUUGAGUAUCAUGAAAUUCUCAAAGCAAAGUCUUUUGUUAAUUCGAUUGGCUCUGCUUUGGACUUGGAGGUUUGCAGAUUCACGUCUGCUCCUCUUAAAUAAAUUAGCUGGAUCUCCAUGAACUUGGUUCCACUCGGCGUGAUAAGUAUCACUCGCUGAGGACACCCGUAAAAAAGGUGGCCAGGCUUGAGGAUGAGCCGCUUCUAACCGACUAUUUAAAUGGUCAAUUAUAUUUAUGAUCUGAUCUCAAAUCAGGUAGGACUACCCGCUGAACUUAA